rnacentral:sRNA from 1 species
CCGCAUCUUUCUUAAGAAGAUUAGCAUCGGAUUCUGCUUCGACGUUCAGAAACGCAGUGUUCUUCACAUCGCAUGGUCUUCUCCAACAGUUAUAGGUUCACUUUCUUCAUUUGCUCAUUAGGAGCAGAAGCACAAGUUGAGAACGAUCACGAAUUCAGAAGAGCAUACUCCCUACAGUUGGCUAGAUUGACUUAAGGAAGCCAAACGCUUGAGUUCUCCUGAAGAUGUUGAAGCAUUUAAACUGAACAGUUUGGACAAGGAAUAUCUACUUUGGAAAAUAACUUAUGAGGCAGUAAGCAAUGCAUAGGAUUUUUCCACAACGAUUUGCAAUAUGGUAACAUAAUGCUUUAUGAAGAGUCUUCUGCUGUCACCAUUAUAGAUUGUGAAUAUGCAAGUUUCAAUCGUGUGGCAUAUGAUACAGCAAACCAAUUCAAUGAGAUGGCUGCCAAUUAUCACACAUACCCCACAUAUUCUCGACUUCACUAAAUACCGUGGUAUAUGAAUAAUCAUUGUAUUACUAAUCUAGAGAAAACCUUUUUGAAUUGAGAAAUAUUAGUUAUUAUUAGUUAGUAUCAUUUCUCAUAAUGAGAAAUAUUAGUUAAAUAUAUGUCAACUCACCCCUUAAACCACUGAGUCGAGCAAUUGCUUGAUGAAGUUGAGAAGUAUGCUCGUGCAAGACAUCUAUAUUGGGACAUUUGGGGAAUGAUUUCGGUAAUCAUCACUUUCUCACUUUAGCAUUGAUUUUUCUAUUUUUAAGCUUCUUAGUAUCUAUACUAUUUCCAUUAAUAAAAGCAUCAUGGGGAUUAUUGCACUCAUGAAUAACCAAAUUGUAGUCUAGUUAUUGAAAUAAAUAGUCUAAAAUAUUGUAAAUUUUCCAAAAGGACGAUUCUACAUAAUAUAGAUUUUCCAAAUGAAUAUAAAAUAUUUUGGUAUAAAUGGUAUUUAAUUAUCUUCUGAAUUCCUUGUGGAGGUGCAUGUAAAUAAAAUUGGCUUUAAGUACAAGGAAUAUGCAGAACAGAGGUUCCAACAGUAUUGGUCAAGGAAAACUUCUAUUGAAAGCUCUAAUGGCUCUUCUCAAGAAGAUAAUGGGGAGCAAGCAGCCACAUUGACCAGUAACCAUAAACCAGUUUAUUGAAGAUCUAAAAGAAGAUGAGGUUGUUGUUCAGGUGUGUUGAGACAACAACCCAGGUCCCAGCACAAGCUUCCUUCAGUACCUCUGAAUUUCUUCACAGGGCUGCCUGCAAAAACUGAUUGCAUGCUUUGAUUCAUAGAUACUGCACAAACUACAAAUGGACCUGCUUUGUUUUUAUUGUUUAGCACCAGAUUUUGUGGGUUUACAUUUUAUUAUGUCAUAGGAUUUUCUGUUUUUGAACUUUGUGUUAGUAAUCCUGGUUAAAUUUGUAAUUUUGUAGGUUAAAUACAUGUGGAUAUC